GAACUGUCUAAGAAAGUGGUUGCCUACCUGGUGUUUGAUCAGUUGCCUCCAAUUCAGCUCUUUUUAUGGCUGAUUACACUCACAUUGUGUUUCUCUACACAAUCAAUGUGAUGUGUUUUUGGUGUUCUUUUUCAUUUUCUUCCGGUCUUCUUAAACAAUCAAUGUGAUGUGUAGGUAGGGUGUUCAAUUAACACACGACUCCAGUUGUGACUUAAACCGCAUUUCCCUAAGACUAGCAUGAAGGAAUAGAGGAAUAAAGUAAACGAUUACAACCCAUAUUUUGUACUUGUGGAUCUUUGGGAGUCUUUAAAGGAAUGGAAUGCAUAUGGAGCUGGAGUUCCUCUUGUGUUGAAUGAAAGUGAUUCAGUUGUUCAAUACAAUGUUCCUUAUUUGUCCGACAUUCAACUUUAUGUAGAUCCGACAACACCCCUAACCAAAAGAAGCAAGACUUGGUGUGGCUAUUGCAAGAGCGUGAAGAAACUGUUCUCCGAGCUUAACGUGUCCUACAAGGUUAUCGAACUGGA